GUUUAAAACAGAGAAGUGCUCGCUUCCCUUUGUCGCUUCUCGCUUUUUAGUGCGAAGCACACCCUUUUGCCUACCUGAGUCGCUUCAUAUAGCAGAACCGGUCAUAGGGUCGCCUCACUUUGCUUCUCGCUUUAAGCGAGGAAGCGGCCGCUUUUCACAACACUGGUGGCGUGUGUGCUAGUUUAAGCCAUCUCGAUUGUUUUUUUGGAUACCUGCUAUCUCCUACCUAACAUAAGUACCAGAUCGCUGUACCCGCUAUGGCUUGCGCAGAUGGAAGAAAUCACCUUGUAUUUUGCAUCUAUCUGUAGGAUUUGAAAUUGAGUUCUCAUCCAACUUCGUUGACCACUGGGCCGUACCCCCUUGAAUGUUGAAGUACUCCCAUAUUCAUCUGUUGUGGGUGGAAAGUGUGGAGGUCUAGUAUCAGGGUUGUAGGAUAGGGGCUCUUAAAGUUUUUCUUACUCCUCACCCGGGGUUGGGUGAGGCUUGGCAGGGCUAUCC
rnacentral:lncRNA from 1 species